CCACGGCAGGGAUUCCAUUUGGGAAGGACCCUUUAGUUUGCCGGUUUCUAAAAGGGGUAUUUGAACUGAAACCUUGCCUCCCAAAAUACGCUGAAAUUUGGGAUGUAAAUAAAGUUAUUUGUUACCUACAACAGUUUACUUCAGUUUCUGAAGUCAGUUUAAAAGAUCUUACAAUGAAUCUUGCCACUUUAUUGUGUCUACUAACAGGACAAAGAUGUCAAACGAUACACAAGAUAGAUAUGAACUUCAUCCAAUUGGAAACGGACAAAUGCAUUAUCACAAUUAGAGAAGUUUUAAAACAUACUAAGGCUGGAAAACACCAAGUGCCUUUGGAACUUCGCUCAUACCCAAGGGACAAAAGAGUUUGUGUGUUAGAGUACCUUAAAGAAUAUAUCAAACGAACUACUGUUCUCAGAGGUGAACAAUCGAAACUAUUUGUGAGUUUCGUAAAGCCCCAUAAAGCGGUAACCAAAGACACCAUUGCCAGAUGGGUCAAAUCAGUACUACAGCAAUCGGGAAUUGAUACAGAUAAAUUCACGUGUCACAGCACCCGGGCUGCAUCAACGUCGUGUGUCAAAGCAGCAGGACUUAAUUUAAAACAAAUAAUGCAGUCUGCUGGCUGGUCCAAUUCCUCUACCUUUGCAAAGUUUUAUGAUAAACAUAUUGAAACUGAAAAUUUUGGUUCAACAAUUCUCAACACAGCAGAUGUUGAAACAGUAACAACAGUUUAAGUAGUUAUAAUGUAGUUGGG